UCUUUGUGAAGCUGGAUUCCCAAACAUUUAAAGUUUCCAUCAGAAAGAAUUUUCCUCAUGUUAGCCAGUUUUUCUUUGCAUGUAUGAAUGA
rnacentral:snoRNA from 1 species